UGUGGAUGGACCGGGUUCCCAUCCAUUUGGCCCAGACCAGGUCUUAUAGGCUUCUUAGCCCAAGAAGCUGCUUCAUCAGCCAGCACCUGGGUGCUGGGUUUAAAGCAGAGUCUCUCCCAUGAGUCAGGGCUCCUGAAGGCAAUUAGUGUCCAGGUGAUAGGCCUGCUAGGGACAGUGGGAUCCGGAGGGCUGGGCCACUAGUGUCAGGAUGCUGGGACCUGAAUGGUUCUUUAUUAAGUAAGAGGGAGUGAGGCAGGGCCUAACCUCCCUGGUAGUUUAUACAAGGUAUUUGUUGUUUUUGCACAAGCCUGGAGUCGGUCGCUGGUGGAAUUUUUGUAGCAGAGCACAUUCUAGCAAGACUCCUGUUACAUAUUGCGCCUGAACAGGGACCCUUCUGCUAGUCGUGUCACACGUGGCAGAGGACCCAACAGCCGCAAGGUAGCGGCACACAUACCAGCGAACUCCAGACCAAGCUGAACUCGUGGGCGUCAGUACCAGACCAAGGGUGUUAUAACUGAGGUGAUCGGGGCUCAUCACUCUGUGGACUCGCCAAUAGUGCCUGUGGUGGCUGGGGUGAGACUGCAGAAAUGCGCCGCCUGGGUGGGGAAGAUGGAUCCGCAGAUUCGGAGACAAGACGCCGUGUCUUACUUGGCCUCCUGGAAUAUGUGACUACAGUGAAUUCUUACCUGCAAUCCCAGCAUCAUCAGGAGUUGUCUGUGGCCUGUCUGGCCGGCUGGUCUGUCGGACUGUUGAAAAAGGGGAAAAAACAUUAUGACCAUACUUUGUAAAAAAAUGCUAACUGCAAAGCCUUAGUGUACUGUAACCAUCUUGUACGUAUUGUAAAGUAAACUAAUUUCUGCUUAA